GGGUGUUGUCGUUGGGGGAUAUACUAAAGGAUGGGAUAUUUCAAGGACAAGGACAGCAAACUUAUUGUGUUUUGUUGUUUUUCUAGUCUACAAACUGUGUUUGUGUGUUUAUUGGGUUUUGACAUGUUUGGAGUCGUUUUUGGGUGUCCAGGUAUUUUAUAUUUGUUCACCUUCUACAGAGACCAUAGCUGCGUUUACAUGGGUACAAAUAAUCGGAAUAAAAAUGCGUCAUGUAAACAUGUUGAUCGUAAGAUUCUGAUCCAAUCCGGCUCACUCAGAAAGAAAUUGUAUUCCGAUCAAGAGGGGUGGAUUAUGCCGAUCGUCAUUCCAAAAUGCAUCCAUGUAAACACUUACUACGAUCAUGACUCUCUUACCUGACUCGAUCUUCACUCUUUAGCCUUUGGGUUAUUUAUUGAGGCCAGUAAAGGAGGUUUUGUUAUUAACGCUCUGGCAUAAAACACAACCUCAAGUGCCGUGUCUGCUCCUCCGAUAACAAGGCGUACAUUCAGUGUAAUUAUGUCACAUCUGCACGCACAGUAAAACCUUUGACAGAACAGUAAAAUAAGCACGCAAGGGAGCCAUCUAGUGACAACAUUUAACAGGGGAGAAAAAUCCUGAAUUGGAUGGAGUGAGCCACUACCGGGUUUGUUGGUUUGUUGACGUACAGGCGUAAAAACAACUCAUCUCUAGCGAAAUCGGAACAAAUCUGUGCAUGUCCAAAUGCUCCUACUCUAAAUAAAGGUUGGUGCAUGUCAUGAUAGGAUUAUUUGGUUUGGUUUGGUUGGAUCAAGAAAUUUUGCACAUGUAAACAUGGCCAAUGCCAUGUGAUUGGAGUUCUUUCAGAGUUUUCAGAAAACUGAAUCUGUACCAAAUCAUCAAAUUAGCAUCAGAGAUGACUGGUGUGAAUUUGUAAUGUGUUAAUUAAUUAAUCAUAGAAAAAUAACAUGUAACACUAGAUAAACACACUCUGACAUGACAUCCCUGAUCAGCUGUCUACAGCAGAGGUGUAAACAUGAUCAAAAGUUCCGGCUUUAAUUUUAAUUAGCUUUAUUCUAUUUAAUCCAUGUGAGACAACAACAUCAUGAUGAUCUAUUAAUAAGUCUGCUCUCAGUCUUGGGCUUACUGUUGUGUCUGUACACACUGUUGAUCUAGAGACACACAUCCAAACUGUAAAACCAUAGAUUAGGGUGAGACCUUUUCUGUUUGUUAUGCUAAUGAAGACAGUCAACAGACGGUGAGACACAAACAAGAGGUAGGGCAGGGUACAAGUGUGCGUCUGUGUCUUUAUGUGUGUGUGUGUUGAAGAGAGGCAAGGUGAUCAGUGGUUGUGACUUUUGUUUACUCCCCUUUUUUUAUCAGUGGAAGAAAUUGUUUUUUUUUUAUUUAGUGGGCAACUAAAAAAAGUGAUAUUAUUCGAGGAGAUCUAAGAGCAAACUCCAGAGUUUAGUGAGACUCUGUGAGGCAACAGGGUUAACCCCCCUUCUCUCUGCCAGAAUAAACAUGACAGCGUUAAAUGAGGAUAUCGUGGUCAUUGUGUCUUACUCCACAUUUCCGAUCUCCUUUCAGCCAUUCUGUCUCAUAAAGGAAAAAAAUGCCCCAAACCAUAACUUUCAAAAAACAACGUCAACAAAACAGCAGUAAUGUUGUUCCAAAAACUUUGAAUUUCAAGCGAGUAUCAGAAGUCGUGGUCAAAGUUAAAGGCCACUGAAGUUGAAAUUGCUUUUUAUUCUGUAUUAAUUGUGAGCUGAAGCUAUCUACCGGCUGAACAAAAAAUCUUCUCUUCUAAUUUCAUGAAUUGUUUUGGUCCGGCCCUGAAACUUGGCGCAGGCACUUCCACCCGACAGUGAGUGAGGAGUGAGCGGUGCAGUAUAAUGUCAAGAUUCCAGAAAAAAAAAUCAGAGAGAAAGAAAGACAAGUGAAGGCAAAGGUAAGUUGACAGUAUGUGAACCAGUUCCUCU